AAAACGACUCUCGACAACGGAUAUCUCGGCUCUCGCAUCGAUGAAGACCGUAGCAAAAUGCGAUACUUGGUGUGAAUUGCAGAAUCCCGUGAACAAUCGAGUUUUUGAACGCAGGUUGCGCCUAAGCCAUUAGGCUGAAGGCACGUCUGCCUGGCCGUCUCGC
rnacentral:rRNA from 1 species